GACGAACGCUGGCGGCGUGCUUAACACAUGCAAGUCGAACGGUAAGGCCCUUCGGGGUACACGAGUGGCGAACGGGUGAGUAACACGUGGGUGAUCUGCCCUGCACUUCGGGAUAAGCCUGGGAAACUGGGUCUAAUACCGGAUAGGACCACUGCCUGCAUGGGUGGGGGUGGAAAGCUUUUGCGGUGUGGGAUGGACCCGCGGCCUAUCAGCUUGUUGGUGGGGUGAUGGCCUACCAAGGCGACGACGGGUAGCCGGCCUGAGAGGGUGACCGGCCACACUGGGACUGAGAUACGGCCCAGACUCCUACGGGAGGCGGCAGUGGGGAAUAUUGCACAAUGGGCGCAAGCCUGAUGCAGCGACGCCGCGUGAGGGAUGACGGCCUUCGGGUUGUAAACCUCUUUCAGCACCGACGAAGCGCAAGUGACGGUAGGUGCAGAAGAAGGACCGGCCAACUACGUGCCAGCCGCCGCGGUAA
rnacentral:rRNA from 1 species